AACAUGCACCAACACUUGCAGAUUUAAGCCAUGCGCGCCCUGUCCCCGCCCUUUUCUUCUUAUGCAACACUUCUUCACCUUUCGUUUCUUUUCUUCUCUCCUUUCUCUCGUUUCUCCCUUCUCUUCUGCACAUCCUCACGCACGAGAGAUUGAGAGAGAUGAUGAAACAGAGAAGAGCAACCCAGCGAGAGAGACCGAAACGGAGAGAGAGAGAGAGCAGCAGCAGCACCGUGGAUGCCUGUGUCGGUGCCAUAGGUGACAGACCCACAACCCGGUACCGGUGGUUCCCAAGUUCAGAAGCUGUUCCAGAGGGCCUAUGGUCGUAGUCACAGGCCACUGGAUGUUGUUGGGGUCUUCAACAAGGUAGAGGACUUCCAGUGCAAGAUGGCUACUUCAAUAGAAUGAAGUAGGGAAGAUGGAAGUUUUCGUGUUGCAUGGAGUACAAAAGAGAUGUGAGAAUUUGCUCUGUUCAUGCUAGCAAGAAACAGAGGCUAACAAAGAUGAUUUGGGGUGCUUCAAAAUCAGCAGUUCUUGAUGUCCCCUGUCUCGUCUUCGCUCAAAUCAGCAGCUCUUGAUGUCCCGGCGCAGUUUGUGAAAAUGGAGGAGCACAAUUUCUUCAGCGCCUGGGAGACGUGCAAUAUAUUCUCGGAUGAGCAAGCUCCGAGCCUUCAAUGGUGCCAUCCUGACCAGUGGACCUAAAGGAAGCAAACCCAUGUUCAGAUAUUAUUGGGAAAAUAAUAAGAAAAGCCAAAAGUGAGCUCAAUUAGAGCAUCUGAUCCAGGUCAUGCUUGGACAUGAACGCGGUUCUCAACACAGCAUGCAUGCAUGCAUGCCCACAAGUAUUAGCGACCAAAUUCUGCCACAUCUGAAUCAAUCCGUACCUGGAUCACCUUCUCUUAUGUUGAAUGCCUACAGAAGUCAGAAGGCAUCUUUCCAAGUCUUUGAUGUAAAGAAUUGACCAACAAUAAGCAUUUUUCAUAUGUGACCCCAAUUGUUGUUGAUCCAGCGCAUGUAGGCCGGAGACUGGAGAGGGAAAGAAAAGAGAAAAAACAAAUGGUGCUCAAGUAGAGUGAUGGAUUGUAAAAGCAUGAGCAAAAUUUCUAGCUAUUAUUCUAUAAUCCUCAGGCUCACAGCCAAAUUAAACCGCUUUUUUUUUUUUUUUUUGGUGCUUCAGUUUAUAACUAGAAGCCAUUGAUGUUAUCCUUCAAAGGAGCCCAGAAUCUUCUGUUCCAACACAAACAAAACCAAGCAGCUAUUCGAGGAGCCCAGAACCUUUGUCAUUGUCUUUUUCGUCGGAUGUGGAGUCCAUGUUAUCUCCUCCACGGGCAGGGAGGUACAGCAGGUCAAUGAGUUACUCAGCGAGGAUGGAUGGUGCGGAGGGCAGAGGCAAUAGUUCGUCACCUCAAGAGCUCGUUGGUGGAGGUGAUGAUCCAGGCAAUUGCUCAUAGCGUGAAUUAUGUUUGGGUUAUUGAGGAUGAUUGUAGCUUGGUUGGAAUCGUCACAUUUUCUGACACAUUGAAGGUGAAGUGGAAAUAAAAAUAUUAUUUUAAGGUGAA